rnacentral:rRNA from 1 species
GAUGAACGCUGGCGGCGUGCCUAAUACAUGCAAGUCGAGCGAACGGAUGAGAAGCUUGCUUCUCUGAUGUUAGCGGCGGACGGGUGAGUAACACGUGGAUAACCUACCUAUAAGACUGGGAUAACUUCGGGAAACCGGAGCUAAUACCGGAUAAUAUUUUGAACCGCAUGGUUCAAUAGUGAAAGACGGUCUUGCUGUCACUUAUAGAUGGAUCCGCGCCGCAUUAGCUAGUUGGUAAGGUAACGGCUUACCAAGGCAACGAUGCGUAGCCGACCUGAGAGGGUGAUCGGCCACACUGGAACUGAGACACGGUCCAGACUCCUACGGGAGGCAGCAGUAGGGAAUCUUCCGCAAUGGGCGAAAGCCUGACGGAGCAACGCCGCGUGAGUGAUGAAGGUCUUCGGAUCGUAAAACUCUGUUAUUAGGGAAGAACAUAUGUGUAAGUAACUGUGCACGUCUUGACGGUACCUAAUCAGAAAGCCACGGCUAACUACGUG